rnacentral:misc_RNA from 1 species
GAUGAAGAACGCAGCGAAAUGCGAUAAGUAAUGUGAAUUGCAGGAUUCAGUGAAUCAUCGAAUCUUUGAACGCACAUUGCGCCCGCUAGUAUUCUGGCGGGCAUGCCUGUCCGAGCGUCAUUUCAACCCUCAAGCCCCCGGGCUUGGUGUUGGGGAUCGGCGAGCCUCCGCGCCCGCCGUCCCCUAAAUCUAGUGGCGGUCUCGCUGUAGCUUCCUCUGCGUAGUAGCACACCUCGCACUGGGAAACAGCGCGGCCACGCCGUUAAACCCCCAACUUCUGAACGUUUGACCUCGGAUCAGGUAGGAAUACCCGCUGAACUUAAGCAUAUCAAUAAGCGGAGGA